rnacentral:tRNA from 1 species
CGCGGGGUAGAGCAGUUUGGUAGCUCGCAAGGCUCAUAACCUUGAGGUCACGGGUUCAAAUCCUGUCCCCGCCU